rnacentral:lncRNA from 1 species
UUGGGGUGCAGGUGGUGCUGCCCUGACUCAGAGGGGCAGCUCCCUGGCUCCUGAGGGUGAGCCUUCUUGGCUACUACAGAAGUAUUGUGCGUUUGUUUAUGGCAAGAACCAUCAGGAUUGGAUAAAUGUGUUAUUUCUCUUUGAUUUCCAUGGAGCCACACUGUUGGUACAUGUCCCCUGUGAACAGAGCUACCUUUCAGGAGCACAUCAUACUGUCGUGAGUCACGGCACGGUGUGUCCUGUGAGAAGAGGCUUUCUAACGUGUGAUUUGCCGUGUUUCUAUGUUGUGAUUUAAGCGUGAUUGCCUACUAGUCAUUCAAGGUAACAUUUCUGCAAAUUUCAUACAGAUUUUUGUCACAAAAUUACUAUACCAAUGAUCUAGUUGAAAUAGACCAAUUGAAUCACAAUAAAUAAUUUUUUUUAAUUGAGGGAAAAUUUGCUUCUUGUUUUUUCAAAGCCAGAAAACGAGCCAUUUCAAACAUCUUUGAAGAGUCAUGUGCUGUCACUUGUUUUCUAUGUGUUAGUGUCUAUAUUCAUGUAUGGAUACACAUGAACAUGUAUAUUCAUACACACACGCCAAUAGAAUAUAACAGCCUAAAAACAAUCCAGCUUGUGUAUCAUGUUACUGUGCUGAAUUGUAAUGGUUUUUACUUACAAAGUGAGGCUAAAAUCGAUUUCAUGUCUUUGUUAAAUACGUUUUUUCAGCAAUCCUAUUAGAGCUUAUUUUGACCAGAUCAAAAUAAGUACAAGUUCAGAGACUUUAAAUAUGGCUGAGGUCUAGAGCGAUAGCUCAGUAGUUAGGAACACAUGCCACUCUUUCAAGGGCUUCAGUUCCCAGCACUCAUAUGGAGGCUCACAGAAGGCUGGAAUUCCAGCUUCAUGGAAUUGGACACAUCCUCUAGCUUCCAUGGAUCUGUCUGUCUGUCUCUCCCUUCUCUCUCUCUCUCUCUCUCUCUCUCUCUCUCUCUCUCUCUCUCUCACUCACUCUUUAAAUAUCAUGGAUAUGCUGUGCAUUUAAAUUUUAAGACACAGAACCAUUGGAAUUACAUGGAUUAUAGCUGAUUCUCUUUGAACAGGGCACAGUGUUCUGCGUAAGAUCUCUUGAUCAUUAGCACUGGACUCACUCUCCUCACAAGUAGCCUAUCAAAUGUGGUAUUAGAAAAUACAUUGUGUCAAAAUCUUUGAAAGAUGAGAAGAAUCUCCUAAACAUGUUUAUUUUGACUUGACAUCACUAUUUCCUGAAAAUUAACUGUCUAUGAUUCUUUUCACAUAGUGUAAGAUCUUACUUGUAUCACCAUCAGCUUGCAGCUUAGGGGCUGCAGUUGUUCUCCUUCAUAAGACUGCCAUCCGUGUGCAUGCUUUUAUGUUUUUCAGAAAGGAUGUUGGGAUGAAAGUAAGAAAACAAAUAAAGUCUCUUCUUGUCUC